CCAGGACAUCUCAUCCGGGUGUCUCAGGUUGUUGUUAAUCUGCAACAGUAGCAUGAAUUUACACUCGUUAUUCUGGGUCCUCCUCCUUAGGGUCAGUGCCCAGAACUUGGUUAGCUGCACCGGGCAAAUAAAGCUGCUGUUCUCCUGCUCCUGUGUGUGCCCAGAGCUUUCUCAAGUGUAAUUCAUCAGAACUAGUCUUAUGCUCUGAGAAGCAAACCUCAGAUACUGUGACCAGUCCCAGGUCAGACUCUUGAGUAGCCAGUAGCUCUGAGCCCCUCUCCUAAGACCCCUGCAACCCGCCAGGCCAGGGGCCCUUAGCAAAGCCAGCACUUGAAGUAGGAGGAAGGGGCUUCUGUGCAGACUGACCCACGGGGCUGCUCCCCCCAGGGCUCCUCCAGGGCAGGACCCACAUUUGCUCCUGAGGGCGGAGCCCAGAGCCUUUCAACUCCAGACCUCAGGCCACAAAGGACCCUGGCAUCCAUGUCUAGGUCCCCAGCCAGUUCCCAAGUUGGCAAUUUUGGAUACAAGAGAGAGAUGGGGGAGCCCCUGAAACGGGGGAGAGUCAGUUUCAUUCUUCCUUUUCUUUUACAAAACAUAUGUUUAGUUACAAGAAAUAAAACGAAUUACAUUCUCAUUUGAAAAAAUAUGAUGGUGGAAGAGGUGAGGGAGACACAGGGCCACAGGGCGGCUAUGAGGGCAGCACAGCUGCAGUGUUCCUGAUGCUUAGCAGGAGAAGGGGCUCAUUCUCUCUUUGUUAGGUAAGCCCUGCUAGAGCCUGGGGUGUUUCCUUCCAGACCUGCCUCUGCACAUUCACAACUCUGGCUUCUCGUUAGCUGCUUGUCUCGCACUGACCGUGCGAUGCUGAGCCUCCAGCACUUGUCCCACCUUGGAAAGCGUGAGUGUCGUCAUUUACUUGGCAGACAUUUAUUGAGUGUGGCUGCAUCCUAGGUACCGGGCACCCGGCACCGAGCUGAGCCCAGACAAAGGAACGGCCUCUUGGGUGCCCCUGGGCAUGGUGAGUCUCAGCUGGAGACCUCGGCUGGGCACGGCCCUCCCGGGGGGGCUGCCCGCAGAUAGGUGGACAGAGGGGUGUUUUUGGUGCGGGAACUCGCUCCAACAUGGGACUUAUUAUUCUUGUGAUAACUGCCUUGCUUGUGAAGGUGGUUCACACAAGGCCGAGUUCUCUGGGGUCAAGAGGACAGAUCAGUGAAACACACUCUGGCCUAAGUUAGGCCCAGGCAGAUGUAUUUAAUUCUAUGUCUACUUCUUGGGAGGAGCAGAGUUUGUGGAUUCAGGUCAUCUUACCAAAGGAAAGCAACAUCCAAUAUUCAGACACCUAAGAUGAGCACCUUGAAAUAAAGGCUUCUGUCCUUUUGUUUUUGGCGGCACUGCGCAGCAUGCAGAACUCACCUGAACAGGGAUCGAACCUGCACCCCCUGCAGCGGAAGCAUGGAAUCUUAACCACUGGACCGCCAGGGAAGUCCAAGGCUGCCGUUCUUGUAAAGCAAUAAAGAAGAAAACAAACAAAUCAGCCUGCAGUUAAAGCCUAAAUGUUGGAGAAAGGCUCAAAUGUCAUUCAGCUCACCUGGCAUCAAAAAGUAAGAAAGACACACACGCAUUUGAGGACCUGAAGCCCAUGGAGACUGGGCCGCUUGCCCAGGUACACUGCUCCCUUUGCCCCAACAAUCAGCUCUCCUCUGGACAUGGGCCGAGAGUGGCUCUCCUGCGCCAGGAUGAAGCUGGAAGAGACACGAGAGGCAGCGACACAGUGUCUGAUGCUGAGAGGGCUUGGAGGAGCACAUGGGGCUUUUGCAAUUCGUGUGUGUUUUAAAUCUCCUUAUCCACGAAGAGGGUAGAGUAAACUCAAGGGAGAAAGAAGCUCGGGUCUUCAAAAACAUUGUCCUGAAACAUUAACCAAAAAAUAAAAAGGAAAAAAAAAAGAAAAAAAAAUCCAGCCACCAAUUGGUGGAUCACUGCCCUGAAUUUCACGUACCUUCCAG